rnacentral:lncRNA from 1 species
GUCAUCACCCAGUUCCAGCCAAUCCAACCCAAGAUGGAUUUUUAUUGCAGUAGAUUGGUGCUAAAGGAAGGAGCAGCCCCAUUUAUGGGAAGGAGUGAGCAUUCAUUGUGACAAGCUUCAUCACACUACUCCAAUGCCAAUUAGAUCCAAUCAUCUUCAGAUCGACCAGAUGCAGAUCAGGGUGGACCAUCUAUAGAUCGGCCGAUAUUGAUCAAAUCUGAUUGCAUUCAAAUUGAUCAGACAUGGAUCAGAUUCGAUUACC